rnacentral:rRNA from 1 species
GACGAACGCUGGCGGCGUGCUUAACACAUGCAAGUCGAACGAUGAAGCCGGAGCUUGCUCUGGUGAAUUAGUGGCGAACGGGUGAGUAACACGUGAGUAACCUGCCCUUGACUCUGGGAUAACUGCGGGAAACUGUAGCUAAUACCGGAUACGACCCUCGGAGGCAUCUCCUGGGGGUGGAAAGAAUUUCGGUCAAGGAUGGACUCGCGGCCUAUCAGCUAGUUGGUGAGGUAAAGGCUGACCAAGGCGACGACGGGUAGCCGGCCUGAGAGGGUUACCGGCCACACUGGGGCUGAGACACGGCCCAGACUCCGACGGGAGGCAGCAGUGGGGAAUAUUGCACAAUGGGCGCAAGCCUGAUGCAGCAACGCCGCGUGAGGGAUGACGGCCUUCGGGUUGUAAACCUCUUUUAGCAGGGAAGAAGCGAAAGUGACGGUACCUGCAGAAAAAGCACCGGCUAACUACGUGCCAGCCGCCGCCGUAA